rnacentral:lncRNA from 14 species
AGUUACAUGAAACAGAUUUCAGAAUUAUUCAUGGACAGUGGUAUUUUUUAAUAUCAUUUUAGGUAUUCAUAAAAUGCCUGCCCAGAAUGCAAAUGACCAGGAAAACCACAAAGGACAUUUGUGGCAAGUUGAAAUUGCCAACACCCAGACGCCGAAUGACAAAAGUGUUAAAGCAGACCUGAAGGUGUCCCGGAAACUCCAACCCGGGACAGCAUCCCAGGAAGAUAAAGGAUGUGUGAGGGCAUUGAUCCAGCAGCCUCAGCACACGAGGGGUCGGAGGAGUCACACACGUAAGAAAAGCGGUCGUCAUAAGUCACCUCUCAGUCACUGUCAGAGGCCUCUUAAUGAGGAGACGCUGUGUACACACAGACAGCACAGGAAGUCACAGGUGACGGGACAGAGAAGUCACGAAGGGGAGAAGCCAUAUGAAAACUCAGGAUGUGGGAAAGCCUCCCACACCAAGUCUCAGCAUCAGAGCACUCCCAGAGACGAGAAGCCCUACAAAUGUCUCGAAUGUGGGAAAUAUUUCUACUACAAGUCACAAAUCAUUGAGCACCAAAGAAGUCACACAGGUGAGAAGCCUUAUGAGUGUACAGAAUGUGGAAAGUCUUUCAGCUAUAAAUCACACCUCACUGUCCAUCACAGAAGUCAUACGGGUGAGAAGCGUCAUGAAUGUACAGAAUGUAGAAAAGAUUUUUACUAUAAGUCCCAACUCACACAGCACCAAAAAAGCCAUACGGGGGAGAAGCGCUAUGAAUGUACGCAGUGCCCUGAAGCUUUCUACUUUAAGAAACAACUUACCCAUCAUCAGAAAACUCAUAGUCCUGAAAAGCACUUUAAAUGUAAACAGUGUGGUAAAGCUUUCAACUGGAGGUCCAACCUGGCUGUGCAUCAGAAAAUCCACAGUGGGGAGAAGCCCUUUGAAUGUAAACAAUGUGGUAAAGCCUUUUACUGCAAGUCCCACCUCACCGUGCAUCAGAGAACUCAUGUAAAUAAAAAGCUUUAUCCGUGCUCACAGUGCAGGAAGGCAUUCUACUCUCAGGCACAGCUUGCUCUACAUCAGAGAAUUCACACUGAUGAGAAGCCCUAUGAGUGUAAACAGUGUGGCAAAACAUUCUACAGCAAGUCUGGGCUCACUGCACAUCAGAAAACGCAUACGGGCGAGAAGCCCUACGCAUGUAAAGAGUGUGGGAAGGCGUUCUAUAACAAGUACCUGCUCAUUGAGCAUCAUAGAGUCCAUACGGGCGAGAAGCCCUAUCAAUGUACAGAAUGCAGGAAAGCAUUUUUCUCCAAGAAACAUCUUUCUCUCCAUCAGAAAACUCACGCAAGUGAGAAGUCAUUUUAUUGUGCAGAGUGUGGGAAAGCUUUCUCCUGGAUGUCACACCUCACUCAGCAUCAGAGAAUUCAUACGGGUGAGAAGCCUUAUGCAUGUGAACAGUGUAGGAAGACUUACUACUUUAAGAGACAACUCACUCGACAUCAAAGAACUCAUACACACGAGGAGUCAUGAGGUAUAAAUAACACUGGCGAAUGCCACCUCUCUGUAUGAAAGAAAUAAGAGAGAAGCCCUGUGGUGAGUGUUGCAGAUACAGACAUUUUUGUCCCUCAUGCAUCCCUUACUCCAAGUCAGAUGAGAAAGCCUAAGAGAGUAAAGAAUGUAUGAACUCCUGCUGAAGUGUAUCAUCAGGAAUGAUUAAUGUAAAACCUGUGGACAUUUUCUAGUGUAAGUCAGGUCACUCAACCAAUGAGCCUAUACUGGGGUCUAUCUGCAAACACUGUUGGAAGGCAUGUUCCUCAUACUGUGUGUAAGAGAGUUCAUGCAUGGGGCUGUCUCCUAUGGAGUUAAAAACUAUACCAUAGCUUUCUCAACUUAGCAACAUAGGCAGGUUCCAUUUGAUAUAAAGCAGAAAAGACUUCUUGACGUUCUCCCCUGUCAGACGAUGACAUUGUGACCCAUGUCUUUAAAACCCUCAGAAUCUAAAGAGUGCCAAAACUUGAAAUUUAUCUGGCAUCAGAAACCCAACACAGAAGAUUCCAGUAACAUUCUUGAAAUGAAAACAUUCUUGCCUCCGUAGUCCAGGUGGCUCUUUUUACAAGGAUUCACCAACUAUUUAUAGUAUAAAGACUCCAGAAACAGCACUCAGCCAUGCUUCCCACAGUACCAGCCCUCAGAGAGCUCAUGAACAUGAGAGCACAUUUGAAGCUCACACAUUAACUUGUCUUAAACGUGGCUCAGUGGCCGUGUGCUCAUCAGUCUUGUGCUGUGUGUCUGCCCACAGAACUUUUCACGUGUCAUCUUGAUUUAGGAUAUUUUUGUUCAUGUUCAUUUGUAAAUCAGUUCAAACUGUACACAAGAUUGAAUGCCUCCUCAGGCAUGAGAAUUUUAAAUAUGUUUACAUUUUUAUACUUGUUAACCUUUGAGACAAGCACUUGAUGUGUAGCCUAUGUGUCCUCAGGCUUCUGCAUCCUCAUUGGUAUAUAUCUAUACACACACACACACACAUACACACAUGUACAGAACAUUCACACCCAAUAGAAGUACAAGACAUUCUUUAUACAUUAAGACAUUGUACAUCAUAACAUCAGCAUAUGUGAUUUUCAUCUUAAUUUUCAAGUAGAAUUGUAUUUAAAUGUGCUAUUGGAGAUUAAAAUGUUAAACUGUACCCAAAUAAACAUAGUGAUAUUCCUUACCAAUAUAUACUUGGCAAUUUUUUUUCAGAUUUUUAUUCUUUAUAAUGCAUUGGAUGGAACCCACAGACUCAUGCGUGCUAGGCAAAUGCUCUACCAUAGCAUUUUAGGCAAGGUUUUGAUGAAUUUUUUGUCAUUACCAGAGCUUCAUAGUUGAAAUUAAUUGACUAAAGGCCACACAUACUAUUAAGUUGAUGUGCUUUAUAGAUAGUAGACUUCAUUUACUUGAGUGUCUUCAUCAUAACCACAAAGAAUAUGUGAAGUUUGCCUAAAAAUAUAGCAGUUGAAGGUUAGAGUACACCUCGCAACAUGGCAUCUGCCUUUGCGAGUGUACUUUAUAAUUGUAAUCCCCAACACCCACAAAUAAUAUAGAAAAACUUGGUCAGAAAGCAUAAUUCAAAGAGAAGGUACCAGCUUUAUUCAGAGCCAUGCCCUUAACCAUCUGAGCUGCACCAUCAGAAGUCUAAAAUAUUUCUCCAAAUAGUGCCACAAUUUCAAGAUCAAACACUUAGUACAUAAAUGUGGUAGAAAUUCCAUGUGCACAUAGUGAUUGUGUUUCCAAAUAGGUUAAUCAAUUAUUUAAGGAAGCGUGGGAGACUAUUAAUAAGGCAAAUGCAAUUAAAACUGAUAAACAAGAUAUCCAAAGCCUUUAGGAAUAAGGAGCACAUUUUAAUCAGAAUAAAAUAUGCACAGUAAAUAACAUCAUAAACAUGAGAGGGCUCCCCUUCUCAUAGGAGAAGGGGGAGAGUGAGGCUGAUAUGAUGUAAAGUAAAUGAAUAAAUUAAUUUAAAAG